UGUUUUUGUAGUUGAUAUA
rnacentral:tRNA from 1 species